CAAGUAUGUUUGACCUUAGUUUCAUUCGCUUGAUACAUAACUGAUCUCACACAACAAUUUCACUUUUCUCCCUAAAAUUUCUCUCAAAUUUCAACCUCUGGCCGUCAUGCAUGAAUCACGAUUUGGUACUUUUAUUGAUUACAAAGGUUUUCCCCAUUUUGCUCCUUUCUCACUCAAAUCUUCGUGGAUUAAAGCUUCUAUACCUAUGAUGAUCGACCCGGCCUUUAUAUACUCCAAGGCUUGUGAUGUAGCCGUUGCUAGGGUUUUAUCCGUUGGAGUGGCAAUCUUGUAAAAUCAGACUGCACGGCUGCACGAUGUAGGUGGUGGACAGACUGAGACUUGUACGAUAUUGUACUAUGAUAGCGACCUGUCCUUUCACCAGUUGACUUGAGAUCUGAAUGCUUCAGAUGAGCGUUGGUGAAGCUUCUGAACCUCGUCAGAUUUAAGCUAGGAUUCUUCUGACCUUGCAACUUCUGCUUCUGAACAAGUUCCUCAGAACUUCUGAACGUCAGAGCUAGAAUAGCUUGGGUCUUCAGAACCAACUUCUUGCCAGUCUUCAGAACUUGAGUCUUCUGCUUCUGGACCGUUCCACUGGAACAUCUGGUCUUCAGAACUUCUGACUCUGGUUCUUCAGAUCCUCUUGAGAGCUUGUAUCUUCAGAACUUCUGAAGGAUUUGCCACUGUUCUGAACAAACAUGGAUACAUGGAGGAUUAAAGUAAGGGUUAUUCGUGUAUGGGAGAUGUGUCCAAUUUCUCAACCAUCAAAACCAUAUGCUAUGAGUUUGGUCUUGGUUGAUGUUGAUGGUAUGAGGAUUGAAGCAGUCAUAAGUAAAGACAUGAUCCAGAAAUUCAAGAGGUUGAUUGUUGAGGGACAAGUCUACAAAAUAGUAUACUUCAAUGUUGUUGAAAAUGAUGGAGCCUAUCGUGCAUCCCCACGUGAGUUCAAGAUAUUGUUUAAUGGUACGACCAAGGCGGAAAGACGGAACCUGACCAAUCUGAUAUUAUACCAUUGAACUGCUUCUAUUUCAAGAACUCUGAAGAAAUCUCUACUACCCUUGAUGAAUCAGAUGUUUUGGUUGAUAUGAUUGGGUUGGUUACUGCUGUAUCUGCUAAAAAGCAAUAUGUCAAGGGCGGUAAUGUUAGUAAGGUUAUUGUGCUAGAGCUCACUGAUGAUAGGGGAAAAGUCCAGGGUUCAUUCUUUGGGCAGUAUGUGGAUAUUGUAAGGCAGUUUGCAACUGUUGGAGGUCAUGAUUUGCAUGUAGCAAUUGUUCAGUUUGCUAAGGUGAAGACGUUUUAGGGUAAUUAUCUAGAUUUUUUUGUGCAAACUUUAUGAGAUCUGAUUAUUAAUUUAGAAGUUGGAGUGAUGUUGUAAUAUGUUUUUAGUUUAAUAUACAAAUGGUUUAUGUAACAAGCACCUACUUUUAUAAUUUGUCAAGCUUUUUUGAUAUUGUCUUAUGUUGUGUCUUUUGGUCUAGGAGAUGUUGUUAUACAAAAUGUUAUGAAUUCUACCAAGGUUAUGUGGAAUCCUAAUGUGCCUGAGGCUAAUCCAUUUCAUGAUGGGUAGUUUGUUGCAUAAAUUUAUUUUUUGGUUAAUGGUUUCAAUGCCAACUUGUAAUAUUUAAAUGAUUUGAAUAGCCCUUUACAAUUUUGUAUUUGUGCGCAAUUUACAACAUUGUAUGAAGCUUGGCAUUGCAUGGUGUUGAUGCUGACCUUCCUAUUGGAGAAAUUGAUGAUGGGGUUCGUCGACUUCCAACUGAUCAGGACUUUGUUUCUCUCUUCCCUAGGAAGAAUAUUAAUGAACUGCAUACUACUGGAGAGGAAGGAUGGUUCACAGUCAUGGCAGAAAUUGUUGGCUUACCUGAUGGAGAGAAGUGGUGGUAUACUUCUUGCCAUUGCCAUAGGUCUGUUACAGCUGGGGAUGGAUUAUAUUUUUAGUCUUCUUGUUGUGUCCAUGUCUUAGAGGUUACCCUAAGGGUUAAAUUUGAAGUCUCUGAUGGUGAAGACCUUGCUACAUUUGUGUCGUUUGAAGCUGAUUGCCAAAAUUUAAUUAACAAGACUGCAAAGAAUUAGUUGUUAGCUCC